AUACCUACGGGACGCAGCAGUGGGGAAUAUUGCACAAUGGGGGAAACCCUGAUGCAGCGACGCCGCGUGAGUGAAGAAGUAUUUCGGGAUGUAAAGCUCUAUCAGCAGGGAAGAAAAUGACGGUACCUGACUAAGAAACCCCGGCUAACUACGAGCCAGCAGCCGCGGCAAUACGUAGGGGGCAAGCGUUAUCCGGAAUUACUGGGUGUAAAGCGAGCGUAGACGGCCAGACAAGUCAGAAGGGAAAAC
rnacentral:rRNA from 1 species